UGGGCUCUUGUCUUCGUCAUCAGUAUCUUCUGCUUGGGGAGGCUUGGUGCCGUGUCACUCCCCCCUUCCUGGCGCGCCAAUCUGUUGCAGCCAAUCCCCUCGUCGCCUGAUCGCCGGGAACGAGCGCCUGCAAAAAAGAAAGUCCACACUGACCGGAGGCAGCUCCGACGGGGACCCUCCGACGGUCAAGUCAGAGAGGUGACUGGGCAACAGUGAAAUGAAGACAGAGAGCUCAAACG
rnacentral:lncRNA from 1 species